CCAGAAACAGCAGGGAGCAGAGCCAACCAAAGAAGACCGACAGUUAACUUCUCACCUGAGUAGCCCAUUUUGGUGAUUGGAAUCAAGACUGAGGACUUGUCUGCAGUCUCAACUGAGGCAGGGCCUCUGAACUGAGAUCUUGACCAGGCAUAAUACAUGGGCUUUAUCCCACCAGCGGAGCUGCUUGGAGACCGCAGCGCACGCAGGAAGGAGAUGCGGCGGUGCUACGCCGCCUGCAGUAGACGCCCAAGCUGUCCGUCGUAGGGGUUCAACCUGAGUCCGCGAGUAAAACGGCCGUGGCAGAUGGGAGCUAUCCCCUCACGGCCCCGACGAGUCAACAGCUUCGGCCUCUGUUCGCCCACUCGCGACCUCACUGACCUUGGAGUCCAGGUCCGAGUGCCCCACGGGGCGAUGAUCACACUGCCUGCACGUGCAUGCGCUAGCCAUGCACGUCUCCAACCGUGGACCCCAGCCGGGCGCGCGCCCGGGCAGCUUCUCCACACCCGCCCCGCACCCGCCGUUGGGAGCUGGGGCCUCAGAUUACUCCGUGCUCCUGGCGGGUUGCGUGAGGCGCCCGACUGAUGCCAAGGAGGAGCAAGCAUCAGUUCCACGGACCUGAGGCCUGCGCGCCACUUCCUAGUGGCUCCUGUUUCCACCUGGCCACUGGAGGCUCUCUGCGCACCCCGGGUGGAGGUCACGCUGGCAGGCAGAGAUCACUAAUAUAAUUAGGGGAUGCGCCCACCUGGGGCGGGGAAAGAUCUGGAGGUACCCUAGUAGGGAUGUGGGGGACAGAAAGACUGCAUCCCUGACCUCAGACACUACCAGUCCCCUCUGCCUCCCCUUGGCCACUGGCAGAGAUUCUGAGGGUUCUGAGUUUUAGAGAGAGGGAGGAGGGGGAACCACAGGAACACAGGCUCCUGGGAGGGAUGGGAAACCUUGUUUCUGAAGUGUGUCAGGAGAGAAAAUGUUCUUACUGAGCAUACACAGGUGUGGUGACACAUUUUGACUGUUUUGGAGGAGGGUGAUGCAGAGGGUGGCGGGUCAGUGAAUGCUGCUAGGUCCCAAGUUUUAUCAGAAGAUAUUCCCAGGAUAUUUCCACAAAUUGUAUUAAUUAUAGGGUCAGAGAUUGCAUGGGG
ensembl:lncRNA